GAAAACCCUCAAACUCAAACCCUAAAAUCAGAUCAUAGCCGCCGGCCAGGCCUCGCUCUUCUUCUUCACGAAAUUUCUAAUUGGCGCUUCUUCUCCUUCUCCUUCUCGAUGCCUCAUCUUCUUCUUCACUGCGCUGACAGGAAGCAUGACUUCCCGCUUGGCUACCUCCGCCAUGCGCUGCCUUUCUCUACGCAGAGGUGUUCGAUCUUCCAUUUACAUUUCAGCGGCCGAAGCUCGAUUCGUCCGCAGAAACUUAGAAGAGAUUGAUCCCCGUCAGUUGAAACCUUGGGAUAUUGAACGUGAAUUGGCUAAACCCCCAGCUUACAAUUGGCCAUCUGAUCAUGUACAUCAUCAUGCUUACAACCUGACAUCUACCCUAAGCCUAAGCCUGAGACCCUUGUUUAUUAUCAUGAUUGUGUUCUUGAUGCAUAUUCCCUUAAAGAGGAUGGCACCAUCUCACCCUACUAUGACAUAUGUCUUCCUUCUUUUCUAAAGGAAAACUAUUAUUUAUCUGGGGCUACUUGUAAUGGUCUACUUCAUCUUCAUAAUGCAAACUUGGGUCAUGCUCUCUGGAACCCAACAACAGGUGAGUAUAAGAUCCUGCCUAUGCCCCUUGCAGAACCCCUUGGUCUACUUAUGUGGUUUAUAACGUCAUAUGGAAUGUGGUGUGACCAUAAAUUUGAAGAUGUCAAAGUGAUGAAUCUUAAACAAUUUUGGUUGGAAGAUAAUGCCGGCGAGUUAUAUUACUUUGACUUGUAUUCACUUAAAACUAAUUCCUGGAGGAGAAUAAAUUGCACCGAGUUUGACUUUUUUCCCUUAAUAGAUUGUGCUUGCCUGGAUGGCGUUUUUUAUUGUAAAGCAUUUAAAAAUGGAGUCAGUGGCCCUGUUUUCUGUUCGUUUGACCUUUCUACUGAAACUAUGUCCACUUUACCCUUUCCUGAACUUAGUGAGUCUGAGUUUAAAAUUAUAAAGUAUAAGGGGAUGUUAAGUGUUGUUGAAUGGUUGGAUGAUAAAGAUGAUGUGCCUUGGAAGUUCCAACUUUGGAGUCUGAAAGAUGGAUCUUGGACAAGAGAAUCUGCUUUCCAUACUCGUGGUAUUAGGCAGAUGUUAUGGUUUUCGCCGGACGGUAAGUUAUUGUAUUUUGCAAGCUUGAAUGAUGAGCUAGUGGUGUUUGAUCGUAGCAUUGGAAUGUUGAAGCAUAUUGGUGUCAAAUGGUUUUCUUCUAAACCAAAAAUCAUUCCGUUUGUUGAAAGCUUUGCUCAACUCAAUGGAAUUUCACAUGUUGAGGAGGUACAUUCUCAAUUCCUAAUGCAUAUAAACUGUGAAAGCUUAUUAAUUUAUGUAUGAGGAAUGUGUUUAUAUUGAAAUAAUUCAACUUGAUAAGACGCAUGAGCAGAAGAAAGAAGAAAAAGACGAGGCUGCAUAUGAUGUAUCCUUAAAUUAGGUUGCAUUUCCAAUGGGGGUUGUUUAUUUUUUUCCCAGAAGCAGAAUCUAUCCAUCACUUUCAUUUUGUCUCGAUGGAAUAGUUAAGUAGUAGUAGUAGUAAUUAUGAGUAGUAGUUAUGCUGCUGGUAUGAGAUUGUAGAAUGUUUGUUGUUGUCACUAACCACCAUUGUGCUUUUCCAUUUGCAUCUCUUCAUAUUAGGGAGUGUUUUUAUAUCUUAGAAAAGGUGGUAGAAUCUACAAAAUCAUCUUGAAAAAGACAUCUUGGCUUCGUAGAACUAAUAAGAGCUACUCCUAGUUUUUUUUGUUGAAUAGUUUUUAUUUUUGAAAUAUGAUAUAUAGAGAGAUAAAUUAAAUAUUAGUAAUUAAAAAUUUAUUUUUGAAAAUAUUAAUAGAUACAUAGAGAUAUAUAAAUAUAUAUUAAUAUGCAUUAAGAUUAUUGGAAAUUGAUUUCAAAGUCCAAAUUAUGAUAAGUCCAUUUCAUGCUUCAAUAGUUAUUUCAAGUCAGGCACGUACUACUGUAUAAAGGCAGGACAAUUUGUCAAAGGCUAAUUGAUUAAGACAAAGGCUAAUUGAAUAAAUGAUUGUUGAAGUCUUGCAGGUGUUUUUAAAGUCUCUUCACAUUUUUUAGUUGGAUGCAUAGUGAUAAGGUUAAUUUCAUGCAUCAGUUAGGGGGGUUAAAUUCAACAAUUUACGGGAUAUAACACAUCUUUUAAGCCAGGUGUGUAGAAGAAAUCGUCAGGUCCAGGAAUGAAGGUGGAUAAUCGUCUGGCGAAGUAUUUGGCGAGAAAGUGAGCAUAAUGAAGGAAAAAAUUUCCAGACGGAGGAGAUCGCUAGCCGGAGGGCAGAACAGAGAUUUUAAGAGAAGGCUUCUAGAAGAUCGCCUCCACAUCUAUAAAAGAGAGAUCAUGCAACACUGAGAGGAGGACUUUCGGCUCUAAGCUCACUUUCACACACUUCUACACACACUUGGGGUCAUCGGAAGUCUAGGGGUUUUGGGGGGUAAUUUUCGGUUUGAUGUUGUGUACCACCGUCCUUACAUCGGGCGAAGAAACAAUUUACUGCUUUCAUUUUAGUUUUCUGUUCGGAUUUCUACCGAGUCUUCGUUGUUCGAAGCUCGGCUUUCGUAUUUGCUGAAAUAUUCCUGAUCUAUCUAUGGAACUUUUAUUUUCUGUUA